GUCUCCGUGGCGCAAUUGGCUAGCGCGUCUGACUGUUAUACCCUGGUAUGAUAAGUCAUCAGGAGGUUCCUGGUUCGAGCCCAGGCGGGGACG
rnacentral:tRNA from 2 species